CCCCUCUCAGGGUUGCCCCUGGAGAGUUUCCAGUACCCUACCAGUCUGGACUACGGAAGGGAGAGUCAAGCAGAGGCCUAUCCAUUCCAUUCCUAGGUUGGGCAGUGGCUAGUGAGUGGAAGGCAAUCUGCUACAAGU
rnacentral:snoRNA from 1 species